rnacentral:rRNA from 1 species
CCUACGGGAGGCAGCAGUGGGGGAUAUUGCACAAUGGGGGAAACUCUGAUGCAGUGACGCCGCGUGCACGAAGAAGUAUUUCGGUUUGUAAAGUUCUAUCAGCAGGGAAGAAAAUAACCGUUACUUAUUGAAUAGCCCCCGCUAAAUACGUGACAGACGGCGGCGUAAUACGUAGGGAGCCAGAGUUUUCCGGAUUUACUGGGGGUAAAGGGGGCGUAGGAGGAAAAGCAAGUCUGAUGUGAAAGUCCAGGGCGUAACCCAGGAACUGCAUUGAAAACUGCUUAACUGGAGUUGCGGAGAGGAAAGUGGAAUUCCUAGUGUAGCGGUGAAAUGCGUAGAUAUUAGGAGGAACACCAGUGGCGAAGGCGACUUGCUGGACGGUAACUGACGCUGAGGCUCGAAAGCGUGGGGAGCAAACAGGAUUAGAUACCCCUGUAGUC